GUUUUCUGCUGGGUCUCGCCGGGGUCGCCUUCCUGGAGCACUUUGGUUAUUGAUCCCGCCGAAAGAGCUGGAGCGCGGAGCCUGAGCGUCCCCGGGGAAGGAGGGAGUGGGGAGCACAGAAGGCAAGGGACUGGGGGAGGGAGUUGAUAAACUUUAGGGGUGGCCGUAGGGCUAGGCCAGCACCCCCAGAAUACCGCCCCAGCCUCCC
ensembl:misc_RNA